rnacentral:rRNA from 1 species
UGUGUUGUUGGGUAGGGGAGCGUUCUGUAAGCCUGUGAAGGUAUGUCGUGAGGCAUGCUGGAGGUAUCAGAAGUGCGAAUGCUGACAUAAGUAACGAUAAAGCGGGUGAAAAGCCCGCUCGCCGGAAGACCAAGGGUUCCUGUCCAACGUUAAUCGGGGCAGGGUGAGUCGACCCCUAAGGCGAGGCCGAAAGGCGUAGUCGAUGGGAAACGGGUUAAUAUUCCCGUACUUGGUGUUACUGCGAAGGGGGGACGGAGAAGGCUAUGUUGGCCGGGCGACGGUUGUCCCGGUUUAAGCGUGUAGGUGUGUGUUCCAGGUAAAUCCGGUUCACUUUAACACUGAGGCGUGAUGACGAGGCACUACGGUGCUGAAGCAACAAAUGCCCUGCUUCCAGGAAAAGCCUCUAAGCAUCAGGUAACAUCAAAUCGUACCCCAAACCGACACAGGUGGUCAGGUAGAGAAUACCAAGGCGCUUGAGAGAACUCGGGUGAAGGAACUAGGCAAAAUGGUGCCGUAACUUCGGGAGAAGGCACGCUGACACGUAGGUGAAGUGAUUUACUCAUGGAGCUGAAGUCAGUCGAAGAUACCAGCUGGCUGCAACUGUUUAUUAAAAACACAGCACUGUGCAAACACGAAAGUGGACGUAUACGGUGUGACGCCUGCCCGGUGCCGGAAGGUUAAUUGAUGGGGUCAGCGCAAGCGAAGCUCCUGAUCGAAGCCCCGGUAAACGGCGGCCGUAACUAUAACGGUCCUAAGGUAGCGAAAUUCCUUGUCGGGUAAGUUCCGACCUGCACGAAUGGCGUAAUGAUGGCCAGGCUGUCUCCACCCGAGACUCAGUGAAAUUGAACUCGCUGUGAAGAUGCAGUGUACCCGCGGCAAGACGGAAAGACCCCGUGAACCUUUACUAUAGCUUGACACUGAACAUUGAGCCUUGAUGUGUAG